rnacentral:rRNA from 1 species
GAUGAACGCUGGCGGCAGGCUUAACACAUGCAAGUCGAGGGGUAUGGUUCUUCGGAGCCAGAGACCGGCGCACGGGUGCGUAACGCGUAUGCAAUCUACCUUUUACAGAGGGAUAGCCCAGAGAAAUUUGGAUUAAUACCUCAUAGUAUAACAUGACCGCAUGGUCGAGUUAUUAAAGUCACAGCGGUAAAAGAUGAGCA